rnacentral:rRNA from 1 species
GACGAACGCUGGCGGCGUGCCUAAUACAUGCAAGUUGAGCGAUGAAGAUUGGUGCUUGCCCCAAUUUGAAGAGCAGCGAACGGGUGAGUAACGCGUGGGGAAUCUGCCUUUGAGCGGGGGACAACAUUUGGAAACGAAUGCUAAUACCGCAUAAUAACUUUAAACAUAAGUUUUAAGUUUGAAAGAUGCAAUUGCAUCACUCAAAGAUGAUCCCGCGUUGUAUUAGCUAGUUGGUGAGGUAAAGGCUCACCAAGGCGAUGAUACAUAGCCGACCUGAGAGGGUGAUCGGCCACAUUGGGACUGAGACUCGGCCCAAACUCCUACGGGAGGCAGCAGUAGGGAAUCUUCGGCAAUGGACGAAAGUCUGACCGAGCAACGCCGCGUGAGUGAAGAAGGGUUUCGGAUCGUAAAACUCUGUUGGUAGAGAAGAACGUUGGUGAGAGUGGAAAGCUCAUCAAGUGACGGUAACUACACAGAAAGGGACGGCUAACUACGUG